rnacentral:lncRNA from 1 species
GAGGAGACCAGCAGAGCCUGUCGGUCACAGGCAGAGGAACGAGGGCGGUGGGGACCACAGCUGAUGAGACUCCGCAGAGAGUGAUUCCCACCGAGUUGGAAAGCUAAGUGGACUGUCUCACUAACUGGGUGGCAGAGAGGUAUGGGUGUCCCCGGGGCUUUUACGUUUCGAAAUGCUGGGGGACAAAGAUCGCAGCGGUGCCUGGCACCGGCAGCCCCUGGGGAGGUGCGACCCUGGUAGCCCACUACCCAUUUGGGGACCUGAGCGCUCACCUGGCCAUCCAUCGCAGCUCAGCGGCAGAGAAUGCUGUCGCCCUGCUUGUUCACUGCGCCGGCCUGGAACAGCAACCCAACACCAAGGGAAAAAAAAAGGUUAGAGUGCGCAGAUCACAGUGUCGCCACCACCCAGGAGCCGUCCUGGAAUACUAGGCAGGCGAGCAGAGUCCCCACCCGAGCCCGAAGCUGGGGAAGCCCCCUGUGAUGCAAGGGACACUCAGGAGACGCAGGGCUCCGAGUCCCAACCGCCUUCGGUUCGGGGAUCAGCGGAUCACCAAGCCCAGCAGGCGGCUCUUGGCGGAGACCGGAGAAGCGGCUGUCAUUCCCUGAGAGGAGGAAGACCACCCGUAUCUCGCCGCCCCGCCACCUCUCCCUCGAUGCCCACGUUACCCUGCCAAGGCUUCUCACCGGGUCAGUGUUGAGCGCGAUAAUGCAGAAGUAUACGGGACCCCCGCAGAGUACCGCGGGUGAUUUCCUGUUCUGCCUCUACCUGAAGAUGCUUUUCUAAGGAUUUACGCCCUGAGUAGGAGCCGCCAGUUCACUAAGUAGCCACCUCGUGGCUCUGUGCUAUUCCAACUGUGCGAGCAACAGCUGCGGAGGAGAGAGACGAAUAUCAACGCACAGCUUAUGGAGCUCAAUAUGUUACUUCUGUUUAUUCAAAAGACCACCUGUGUUUCUGGGGGAAAUUGGAGAUGUUCCAAAACAGAAUGAAGAUGCAGCAGACAACCAUGGAACCUUCUGAGCCGCAAGCCGGGGCAUCACUGCUUUAGGUUAAACACACCGUGACAGCCCCAUGGGAAACGACUCCCAGAAUCCACCGCAUCAGCGUUUUGGGUUAUUGAGGGAAACUGAGUCACCUCAGAGCUUCUCGGGACUUCUCAUCCAGGAACAACUUUACAAACACCACUGUGGUAGCUUCUGAGAGUACUGGAGGGCAAGGUGGAAUAAUUCAUGAGCAGACUGUGUGAAUGGACCAGUUAUGCCCAGGAUGGCCUGAACUUGAGAGUUACAAGGUCAUAAUGAUGUCAGGUUGCUCUGUUCAAACAGUAUCAGGGAUUUAGGAGGGAGUGUGGGAAGAUUCCUAAUUCCUUAUACUCCCACUAAUGCCCAAUGGCAGUGUGGGAGGCACCCCUUCAAAGCCUUGUCAUCUACCCCUAGGCCAGGUUUCUACUCAACUUUCCCCGAUACAUACGUUUAACUACAUAUCCUCUGAGUGUGUGCUAGGGUCCCACAAUCAAGUGCAGAUUACUCAUACUAGCCAACUAACCAUCCCUUUGAGAUCAGGUUGAUCUUGACUUAACAUUUGAUUUUUUUUGGUGGGGGAGGGGACAGGGUCUCACUACCCAGCCCAGGCUGGCCUUGAACACAUAAUCCUCCGUGCCUCAGCUGCUACAGUAUUGGGAUUCCAGACAUAGAGCAACGUCAUGUCCCGGCGUAGGAGUUCUAGAUACCUUUAUUUCACACUCUCCUUCCUCAUUUCCCAAGCCUUGGUUUAAAAUCAGAGACGUAUGGGAAGCCAAAGUUUUCAGUAUGAUGCAUGUGCUAUGUUCUCUAAUUUCCCCGUACCUUAGCGUGCUUCUGUGAUUCUCCAACAGUCCAUCAAAUGGCUUUUCUAAAUAUAAAUCUGAGUAAAGAAGCAGGGUAGGAAACAUUAGCUAGAAAAUUUUUGUCCAGAAACCUAGACUAUUCCUUUGACCAAAGCCAGUGAAAGAUGACGGAGAUAGAGCCUAGGCUCAGUGGUAUUUUAUGGUGGAGAGUAGAGAAAAAAAAAAUACAGGGGAUUAACAUGUAAUACAGAGAAACUGCUGGGGGAAGUGUGGUUACAGGAGACAGGGAACUACGUACACCCAGUUUGUCUGUCCUCUCUCUCACUCUCUGCUUGUAUGUUUAACAUGAGGUUUUGACAGCAUCUGCCACACAAUGUGUAUUUGUGUGGAUGGCGUCCUUGGCCGGUACAGCUGAACAUGCUACUCAUGGUUAGUUAAUUGGUGGUAGAGAAGAAAUGUUCAGACCUGCCUGUUUGAAAUUUCCCAACUGCUCCUCACCCAGCUGGUCUACCUGAAAGUGGGUUUAGGAGCCAAGAGCCGGUGCGAGAAGGUCACCGUGGUUAUGACAACUUGCCAGUGAAAUGCUCUGAGUCUAUGCUUCUGGAAACAAAAUCCCCUCUGUUAUUCCCCCACCCUUGCUGGUGUAACUGUGGACUGUUAGAAAAAAGCAAAACAAACAGACAAACAGGCAAAUACAGUCAACCAACCCCCUGCCCCAGAGUCUGUUUUUUUGUUGUGUUUUGUUUCCCUCUGGUCUGUAUUCUUCCUUAGGAAAACAAAACAAAACAAAACAAAAAAAUCUAAGGCAUGUUUUUCUCUACUUUAAGCCAAAAUUAUUUGAACAACAUUUCUCAAAGGUAGUAGAGGAAUCAACAUCCUCAUGGGUGUGUAGCAGAGUGUGAGACAUGUCAUGUUUGGGUCCCUAAGUCAGACCAACUGGAUCAGAAACUCUGUGGUGAGAGCCAGAGGUCUACAUGUAAAUAAAUUCUUCUUCUGGGUUUCAUGAACU